rnacentral:rRNA from 1 species
UACCAGACUCCUACGGGAGGCAGCAGUGAGGAAUAUUGGUCAAUGGGCGAGAGCCUGAACCAGCCAAGUCGCGUGAGGGAGGACGGCCCUACGGGUUGUAAACCUCUUUUGCCGGGGGGCAAACGGCGGCACGCGUGCCGUCCUGAGGGUACCCGGAGAAAAAGCAUCGGCUAACUCCGUGCCAGCAGCCGCGGUAAUACGGAGGAUGCGAGCGUUAUCCGGAUUUAUUGGGUUUAAAGGGUGCGUAGGCGGGAUGCCAAGUCCGCGGUCAAAUGCGGGGGCUCAACCUGCGUCCGCCGUUGAAACUGGCGUUCUUGAGUGGGCGAGAAGUACGCGGAAUGCGUGGUGUAGCGGUGAAAUGCAUAGAUAUCACGCAGAACGCCGAUUGCGAAGGCAGCUUACCGGCGCUCAACUGACGCUGAGGCUCGAAAGUGUGGGUAUCAAACAGGAUUAGAUACCCGGGUAAUU